GGGAAUUUUCGGCAAUGGGCGAAAGCCUGACCGAGCAACGCCGCGUGAACGAAGAAGGUCUUCGGAUUGUAAAGUUCUGUUAUAGAGGAAGAACGGUGUACGUAGGAAAUGACGUACAAGUGACGGUACUCUGUGAGGAAGCCACGGCUAACUACGUGCCAGCAGCCGCGGUAAUACGUAGGUGGCAAGCGUUAUCCGGAUUUAUUGGGUGUAAAGGGUGCGUAGACGGAGAAGCAAGUUAGUUGUGAAAUCCCUCGGCUUAACUGAGGAACUGCAACUAAAACUACUUCCCUUGAGUACUGGAGAGGAAAGUGGAAUUCCUAGUGUAGCGGUGAAAUGCGUAGAUAUUAGGAGGAACACCAGUGGCGAAGGCGACUUUCUGGACAGUAACUGACGUUGAGGCACGAAAGUGUGGGGAGCAAACAG
rnacentral:rRNA from 1 species